rnacentral:rRNA from 1 species
GUAGUCCACGCCGUAAACGAUGUCGACUUGGAGGUUGUGCCCUUGAGGCGUGGCUUCCGGAGCUAACGCGUUAAGUCGACCGCCUGGGGAGUACGGCCGCAAGGUUAAAACUCAAAUGAAUUGACGGGGGCCCGCACAAGCGGUGGAGCAUGUGGUUUAAUUCGAUGCAACGCGAAGAACCUUACCUACUCUUGACAUCCAGAGAACUUAGCAGAGAUGCUUUGGUGCCUUCGGGAACUCUGAGACAGGUGCUGCAUGGCUGUCGUCAGCUCGUGUUGUGAAAUGUUGGGUUAAGUCCCGCAACGAGCGCAACCCUUAUCCUUUGUUGCCAGCGGUUCGGCCGGGAACUCAAAGGAGACUGCCAGUGAUAAACUGGAGGAAGGUGGGGAUGACGUCAAGUCAUCAUGGCCCUUACGAGUAGGGCUACACACGUGCUACAAUGGCGCAUACAAAGAGAAGCGACCUCGCGAGAGCAAGCGGACCUCAUAAAGUGCGUCGUAGUCCGGAUUGGAGUCUGCAACUCGACUCCAUGAAGUCGGAAUCGCUAGUAAUCGUAGAUCAGAAUGCUACGGUGAAUACGUUCCCGGGCCUUGUACACACCGCCCGUCACACCA